rnacentral:rRNA from 1 species
GGCCGCCACCAUACCACGUUGGAAACAUCGGUUCUCGUCUGAUCAACGAAGUUGAGCAACGUCGGGCCCGAUUAGUGCGUGAAUGGGCGGUGGUUACCC